rnacentral:misc_RNA from 1 species
AAAAAAAGGAACUUGUCUGACUUAUAAUUUAGAAUUGCAAAUGAUAAUUUUCUUUUAUGUGAAAAUAAUAUUACUGAUAUUAAUGAUUUUUCUUUAUUUGAAUGUGCACAUAUAUAACUACCCAUAUACAUUCAUAUUUUGUUCUCACUUAAAAAUAUUUCUAAAUCCGCAACUGUUUCUACACAUGCAAGUAUUAAAAUUUUCAGUCCUUGAAUUGUCAUUUUUCAAUAUGGUAUUUGCUGGACUUUGUUUUCCAAUGUAUGCCGGUGAGUGAGAAU